UCCUUUUGUUAAAAAAUUAAGGUCUAGCCUGCCCACUGAAUAGUUUUGAAUGGCCGCGGUAUUUUGACCGUGCUAAGGUAGCAUAAUCAUUAGUUUUUUAAUUGAAAGCUGGAAUGAAGGGUUGGAUGAAGAAAUAACUGUUUCUAAUUAAUUUUAUUAAAAUUUUAUUUUUAAGUUAAAAAGCUUAAAUAAUUUUAAAAGACGAGAAGACCCUAUAGAGUUUAAUUAUUUUAUUUAAUUUUAAAAUUUAGUUAUUAAAAUUUUAUUAUAAAAUAUAUAAUUUAAUUGGGGUGAUUAAAAAAUUAAAUUAACUUUUUUUAUAUAUGUAUAUUUAUAAAUAAAUUAUUGAUCCAAUUGUUUUGAUUAUAAGAUAAAAUUACCUUAGGGAUAACAGCGUAAUCUUAUUAAAGAGUUCUUAUCGAAAGUAAGGAUUGCGACCUCGAUGUUGGAUUAAAA
rnacentral:rRNA from 1 species